rnacentral:rRNA from 1 species
GGAAAAAUGAAAGACAAAUUAAUAGCAUAAAAAAGCAAAGAUUAAACCUUGUACCUUUUGCAUAAUGAUUUAGCUGGUUAACAAGGACAAAAAGAACUUACGCCCGACUUCCCGAAAUUAAGUGAGCUACUAUAAAACAGUUAAUUUUGAACCAACUCCUCUAUGUAGCAAAAUAGUGAGAGGAUUUUAUAGUAGAAGUGAAAAACCUAUCGAACUUAAUGAUAGCUAGUUAUCCAAAACACGAACUUUAGUUGAACCUUAAGUUUAAUAUAAAGCAUUUAAACAAUUUAAGCAUACCUUAAACUUAAUAGUUAAUCAAAUGAGGGACAACUCAUUUGAUGCAGUAGACAAACUCAAUUAGAGGGUAAUGAUCAAUUUCAUCCCAUUGUACACCUAAAAGCAGCCACCAAUUAAGAAAGCGUUAAAGCUCAAACACAAAUUUUAAUUUAAUCCCACAAAAAUCAUCAAAACCCCUAAUAUUAUAUUGGAUGAUUUUAUUCAAUUAUAGAAGACAUAAUGCUAAAAUCAAUAAUAAGAAUUUAUUCUCCUUGCAUAAGCCUAAAUUAGUUAAUGGACAAUCCACUAACACUUAACAAAAUAGUAAUUAUAAAUAUAAACCAGUCUAUUACCUUAAUUAUUGUUAAUCCAACACAGGCAUGCGUUAUUACAAGGACAGAUUAAAAAAGAAUAAAAGGGACUCGGCAACCUAAAACCCCAUCUGUUUACCAAAAACAUCACCUCUAGCAUACUAAGUAUUAGAGGCACUGCCUGCCCAGUGAAUAAACUUCAAUGGCCGCGGUGUCCUGACUGUGCAAAGGUAGCAUAAUCACAUGUCUCCUAAAUAGAGACUUGUAUGAAUGGCAUAAUGAGGGUUUAACUGUCUAUUUUUCUCAAUUAGUGAAAUUGAUCUACCCGUGCAGAGGUGGGUAUAAUGAUAUAAGACGAGAAGACCCUGUGGGGCUUAAGAUAAUAACUUAAAUAAAAUUAUUUAACACUCCUAAGGGAUUAAACUCAUAAAAAUUUUAAGUUAAAUCUUUUGUUGGGGUGACCUCGGAGCACAAUAAAACCUCUGAAUGAUAUAACUAAGAUCAACCAGUCUAAGUGCCACAAGCCAAUAAUUGACCCAAAUUUUGAUCAACUGAACAAGUUACCCCAGGAAUAACAGCACAAUCCUAUUUAAGAGCCCAUAUCGAUAAUUAGGGUUUACAACCUCGAUGUUGGAUCAGGACACCCAAAUGGUGCAGCUGCUAUUAAAAGUUCAUUUGUUCAAUGAUUAAAGUCCUAGGUGAUCUGAGUUCAGACCGGAGAAAUCCAGUUCGAUUUCUAUCUAUACAAUAAUUUCUCCCG